rnacentral:rRNA from 1 species
CCUACGGGAUGCAGCAGUGAGGAAUAUUGGUCAAUGGGCGCGAGCCUGAACCAGCCAAGUAGCGUGAAGGAUGACUGCCCUACGGGUUGUAAACUUCUUUUAUGAAGGAAUAAAGUGAGGCACGUGUGCCUUUUUGUAUGUACUUUAUGAAUAAGGAUCGGCUAACUCCGUGCCAGCAGCCGCGGUAAUACGGAGGAUCCGAGCGUUAUCCGGAUUUAUUGGGUGUAAAGGGAGCGUAGAUGGGUUGUUAAGUCAGUUGUGAAAGUUUGCGGCUCAACCGUAAAAUUGCAAUUGAUACUGGCAGCCUUGAGUACAGUUGAGGUAGGCGGAAUUCGUGGUGUAGCGGUGAAAUGCUUAGAGAUCACGAAGAACUCCGAUGGCGAAGGCAGCUUACUAAACUGCCACUGACAUUGAUGCGCGAAAGUGUGGGUAUCAAACAGGAUUAGAUACCCUAGUAGUC